CUCUUUGGGAACUCAGAUUGGCCUUAUGGUGGCCUCUCUUUCCUUGAGGG
rnacentral:snoRNA from 1 species